UGUAUGUUACAUAGAACGAUCUCAUAUUGAAACUUUGUUUUCUGACAAGUUUCUCUUAAUUAAAAAUAAACCACUUUUCACCACGGAACCCCUGGCUCCUGGCUCCAUGAAAAACCCCACCAAAUGGCAAAAAUAAUGGGAAUUUGCAAAUCCCGUGGAUCCUCCAAUCCUUUAACCCCCCUUGGCCCCUUUGGUAAUUCCAAGGGCCUGGCUGGUUUAAAAUCCUUUAAUUUCCCACCUUUACAAUUUUUGGAAUUGGCCAGGGUUGGAUGGUAAAAUUUCUGGGUAAAAUAAAAUCCGGCCGGCUCCCUUUUAAACCAAUAAGAACUUGUAAAAUGGCCUACGGUGGUGUGAUAUAUGUCUACGCCCUAUACCGAAAGGGAAUUCUAGCUGUAUGUACUACUUAUAAAUCAUGCGCAUAUAUCUAGCAUAUAAGUGCAUAUAUUGACAAUUUGACCUCAAUCAGUAGGACUACCCGCUGAACUUAGCAUAUCAUACCCGCACGAAAAGAACGCUUACGGAAAUCAAUCUUCGGAGGAAUUU
rnacentral:rRNA from 1 species